ensembl:lncRNA
CACUGAUGCUUUCCUUUUGGCUACUGCAGACAUCUUAGCCUCUCAGAGGGCAAGGAACAGUUAAAAUUCCUCUUUUUCAGGUGCUGGAAAAUUCUAGCAGUGAAUUAAAAGUAACGGAUGGCAUGGAAGUGAUGGAACUAUCUGCUGCAGAGCAACAAGGACAAGAUAUUGUCAUGUGCAGCCCAGAGAAGGAGAUCUGCCCAGAAACUAAUUUUGAUUACUCUGGAGAACCAAAAAUACAUCCAACAGAUGUUUCAUGUAGUGAUUUGACAUCCAUUGGCAGAAAUCCUUCGCCCAUGCUGGAUGCUGAGCUUCCCUUCACUCCAGUCAAGAGCAAAGCCCAGAAGUUUGCAGCAGCUGAAGCAUUCAGUGACCUUAUUGUAUUUUCUCCCCUUUCUCCUGGGGAGAAAUGAAGAGUUGACUUGAAAUUCAAAAUGUGUAAAUUGUAUUAACAACAAACCCACGGAGGAUAUCUGGAAUACGCUGCUACCCUGGAACUGUGUUCUGAGUGAAUGAACACCUUUAGUAUUUUGUAGUGGAGUUUAUUAAAAUAUUUUGUAACCUUAUGGGGCAGUUGUGUGCUGUAAGUACUGCUGUACAUUAGUAGCAGCGUGUUUGGUUAUAUCUGUUAUAUCCAGAUUGCAUAUUUUUAACUACAGCCUGAAAUAUUUUUAUUUUUCUAUAAUUUCAUGUUUUUCCUGUCUACUCCAAGUUGUAAAACUAUUCCUCCUUUAAGCUUUUCUGUCCUGACCUUACCACAGGAAUUAUUAUUAGAAGAUGCCUCCCAGAGUGGCUGUACCUGUGCCCUGUUUCUGAUGUGAGGGCACCUCUGGGGACAGGACUGGGCCUGCUGCCUCCCCCAGAGCAUGGUUCCAUCUCGGUGCUGCUGUCAGGGGCCUGUUGCACCCCUGGGCUCUGGCAUUCUGUGCAUUAACAACUGCUAAUUGGCAUCUGCUCAGGGUUCGAUGUGGGCCAUUCUUUCCUGUGGGAGUCUGCUGGGUGUUUACCAACCACUUGCUUUGUUAGUAGUAGAAACUAUCUCAGCACAAGGAUUUCUGAGUCAGAUAAUAUCUUUUCCUGGCUGUGUAUUAAAAUAGGGCAUUGAUUAUUAUUUCCUUUAAGGACUCAGUUAUCUGUUGAGCAUCUUGAGUACCCUCAAGCCAAACUCUAUUCUCUCUGCUUUUUCAUGUGAAAAUCUCUCAGGCUCUUUGAACACUUGACAUGUAAACCUCAGCCUCUUCUCACAUCUUGUUCCUUAUGCAUUCUCCUGUCUGCACUGUAAUAUAUUUAUGCAUAAGAGCACACCAGUUAUACUCUAUAUUUGAGUAAUAGUAUUAGAGUACUUGUAGUUGCUAUAUUUUUCAGUGAUACCUAACUGGGCUGCUUUUUUGUAAUGGUGAUCUUAGUGUAAUACACACAUUCUUCCACUAGCCUUUAUUUUAAACCUAAAUCAAUUCAAAUCCCUCAGCAAGUGUUGCCACUACAGCUGGGGGAUCGUGUCUGACAGAAGUUUUAACCUGGAAGCUGUGUACUGGUUACACUGAAAUAAAUAGAGGAAGCUGAUGUGAUUUGGUGUUACU